GAUCCCCAUUCCAAAGGUUCCGGUCCCCGCCCCCUUUGUGACCUCAUACAAAGGCUUGGCUAAUACUGCAAAGUUUGGGAUCCACAGUCUACAAAACCCCACAUCCCCUGAGAAUUCUCUCGCCUGCCUUAGGCACUUAGGCUCCGGGAGAUUGCAAAUAACCUGCUUUCUUUCUGUUCCCGGGCUGCGUUCGGACUCCUGUCAGAUAGUAAAUCCUAAGUGGCGUCGGACCCCUGUCAGAGAGUAAAUCUCAAGUAAGGUACCUGCCAUCGGCAGAUUUGAGCUUUCUUCUUGGACACCUAAUACCCACAGUCCUCCAGGUGAGUCCUAAAGAUCUUAGGAUCCGCGAUGGGGGUCCUAAGGCAGGGGGGGAAGAGGGGAUGGCUGUCACCCAACCCAAAAUGGGCGGCCUUUAUGUUCAGGUUUUGCCCAAGAGUCAGCUUAUU
rnacentral:lncRNA from 10 species